AAUAAUGAUGUCAACUCAAGUAUGAACCAACAUGUCAUUGCUGUUUGCUCAAGUCCACCAGACGAACCCCCCGGGGAUAUGCAAGACACAGGACAAAGCUGAGCUGAUUCUUAGAGAAAAUUUGAGCAACAGGAGAGGGAAGGAAGAAGUUUGAUAACAGGAGAAGGAAGCAUUUUUGUCAUGAUGUGGCUGCCACGUGAGGAGGUUAUUUACAGCCUUGUAUCAGCGCCUGCUUCACUACCCAUGCCAGGAGGAUCCAGAGUGCAGCAACCAGGAAUCUGGAAUGUGUUUCAUCUGAAAAGAAGCUGCUAGAGCUGCCGCUCCUGUUCUAACAUCUAAUGGAUCUAAUGACUUGAGCUGACAGCAUCAUGAAGAUCUAGGAGGCUACCAAUUUGGGUCAUUAGACCCGCAGUUAGGCCGCCAUAAAAGGAUGUGAAAAAGAAUGAAUCCAACUUUAGAGCUCACAAGGUAAAAAGCUUCACAUGGAUUCUGCCGCCAGAUAAGAACUAUUGAGUCAAUAGGAAUUGACGUUAAGUUUUUUAAGAGGAAUUUAUAUUGUAUUUUAUGGGAAAAAAAAGAAAGGAUGUGUUACUUCUUGGUGCAGAUUCAGCACGGAAAAGUCGGAUAGCCUCAUGCAGACUGAUCUGAUCUGCUGCCAAAUCUGCUGGAAAUACGAGGGUUCUGCCACGUGAUUUCUACGCAUGUAUUUUCUGCCACCUAAACAUAGCCUUAGGGCCCAUUCACACUACCAACAUUUUAAGCUGAUUCCACUUGCAGCAUCCUUCUAUUGAUAUCUAUGGGAUUCUGUUACUCAGUACACACUACCGAAUUUCCAUUGCAGAAUUUCUAACAAGGAAUUCGAUUCUGCCAAAAGAAUGAACAAAUCCAUCCUAUCCACGGAACUUGAUUUGCAGCGUAAAAUUCCAUGCGACAUAUGCGCCAAUUUCAGAAUUUCCUCACUUAGCACGGGCCCUUAGAGGUCCGUCAGAGAAACAUUACUACUGCAUCCAAAAUUCUGCAAAAGUUAAUCAUUAUCUACGCAGCUUUGCUUUUUUGCUUGUUUGUACGGCUUCUCUGGAUUGCUGUGUUGUGGGUUCGCAUGGAAAAUCCUCAGUU